rnacentral:rRNA from 2 species
CUGAGAUCGGGCUAUCAUGCAGUCGAGCGGACAGAAGGGAGCUUGCUCCCGGAUGUUAGCGGCGGACGGGUGAGUAACACGUGGGUAACCUGCCUGUAAGACUGGGAUAACUCCGGGAAACCGGAGCUAAUACCGGAUAGUUCCUUGAACCGCAUGGUUCAAGGAUGAAAGACGGUUUCGGCUGUCACUUACAGAUGGACCCGCGGCGCAUUAGCUAGUUGGUGAGGUAACGGCUCACCAAGGCGACGAUGCGUAGCCGACCUGAGAGGGUGAUCGGCCACACUGGGACUGAGACACGGCCCAGACUCCUACGGGAGGCAGCAGUAGGGAAUCUUCCGCAAUGGACGAAAGUCUGACGGAGCAACGCCGCGUGAGUGAUGAAGGUUUUCGGAUCGUAAAGCUCUGUUGUUAGGGAAGAACAAGUGCAAGAGUAACUGCUUGCACCUUGACGGUACCUAACCAGAAAGCCACGGCUAACUACGUGCCAGCAGCCGCGGUAAUACGUAGGUGGCAAGCGUUGUCCGGAAUUAUUGGGCGUAAAGGGCUCGCAGGCGGUUUCUUAAGUCUGAUGUGAAAGCCCCCGGCUCAACCGGGGAGGGUCAUUGGAAACUGGGAAACUUGAGUGCAGAAGAGGAGAGUGGAAUUCCACGUGUAGCGGUGAAAUGCGUAGAGAUGUGGAGGAACACCAGUGGCGAAGGCGACUCUCUGGUCUGUAACUGACGCUGAGGAGCGAAAGCGUGGGGAGCGAACAGGAUUAGAUACCCUGGUAGUCCACGCCGUAAACGAUGAGUGCUAAGUGUUAGGGGGUUUCCGCCCCUUAGUGCUGCAGCUAACGCAUUAAGCACUCCGCCUGGGGAGUACGGUCGCAAGACUGAAACUCAAAGGAAUUGACGGGGGCCCGCACAAGCGGUGGAGCAUGUGGUUUAAUUCGAAGCAACGCGAAGAACCUUACCAGGUCUUGACAUCCUCUGACAACCCUAGAGAUAGGGCUUUCCCUUCGGGGACAGAGUGACAGGUGGUGCAUGGUUGUCGUCAGCUCGUGUCGUGAGAUGUUGGUUAGUCCCGCACGAGCGCACCUUGAUCUAGUGCAGCAUCAGUGGCACUCUAAGUGACUGCGUGACAAUGGAAGAGUUGGCAUGACGUCAUCAUCAUGCCUAUGACUGGCUACACAACGUGCUUACAUGGACG